CCACCCGAGGGGACGGGCUGGCCUUCCAGGUGAGGACGGGGAUGCUGCAGUGAGUCCCAGCUGUGCCAGAAGCCUGUCCUGCUGUCAGCAGCAGCCCAGAUGUGAGCCUCUGUCUCUGGACCACACAGCACCGCGUCAGGAUGCCUCCCCAGGGGCAGUUUCCAGCUGUUCUCACAGGCCCCAGGCAGUGUCAGGGCUCUGGGCUUCUGGUGGUUGGGCCCGUGCCCACAGCUGCUGUGAAGCAAAGAGCUGGCCUUUCCCCCCACUGCAAAGUCCACACAUCUACAGACUGCUAAAAAAAAAAAAAUAUAAAAGGACAAAUGGGUUAAAGGACAAACAGGUUCCGCAGGAGUGAUCUGUGCAGAGGGUCUCCGUGUUCUGGUCAUCGCUGUAACCCCAUUAAACUGGCACCUGCUCACGUCUUGGGGUCUGUGACUUUGUUUCUAGAGUCUCCCCAAAACAACAACAACAAAAAAAAAAGCAGACAGA